GCUGUGGCACAGUGGGUUAAGAACCUGACUGCAGUGGCGCAGGUUGCUGCAGAGAUGCAGGUUUGAUCCCCAGCCCUCACAGUGGGCUAAAGGUUCUGGCAUUGCAGCAGCUGCAGUGUUGGUCACAGCCGUGGCCUGGAUUCAAUUCCUGGCCUGGGAAUUUCCAUAUGCCACAGGUAUGGCCAAAAAAAAAAAAAAAAAAAAAUCUAUUGAAUGAGGAAUAGAUACAAGUGAUUCCCCAGAGGCGGAAUAAUGGAGGGGCUGAGUGUGGGCUCUGGCAUCAGCACGUUUCAAAUCAUAAUUCUACCACGUGUGCAAUCAUGGUUGGGUAGUUUAACCUCUGUGCCUCAGUUUCUCCCUCUGAAAAAUGGGGGAUAUUAACAAAGCCUAUCUCAUAGAGUUGUGUUGAGCGAUAGAUGAGAUAAUGUCAUUUACUGGUCAUUAUCACUUAGUAUUUAUGACUCUUAGAGCUGUUAUCUGGUCCCGUUCUGGGCCUCAGUUUUCCAGGCUGUAAACUGUGGGGAGUAAAGGGCACACGUAGAGCGGGCCCAGCUUGGAGGCCCUGAACCCAGAGCCUGUACCUUGCUCUCUCUCACAGUCUCUCCUCCCUCUCCCCUCUCCCCUCUCUUUCCCUCUCCUCUCCUCUCCUCUCUCUCUUUCUCUCUCUCUCUCUCUUCCUCCAGCAGAAGCUCCAGACAGCAACCUGCAGCCGGCCUUGCUCAGGACCGCCAUCCCUGGCGGGGGCAUCGCAGAAAUCAUGCUGGGUGUCCUGAUUGGUGUGGCGCUCACAGGGACAGCCGGCUACUUUGUCGGGGUCAUGAGGUCCCAGAGGGGUGGAGAUAUCAACCUCAUUGUAACCGCCUUUUGACACCUACGCAAGGAUGCCAAGAUCUUCCAAAGCCGAAAGGAGAAACUGAGGCAUGCUUCGGCAGCCAGCUGUUUUAACAGAUUUGAGAUUAUUUGCAUAGGAGAGGAUUGUAAUCCCUCUCCCGUCUCUUUCCUUUUUUAAGAAAAUACUUGAGUAAGAGGCUUGCUGACAAAUAAGACUUGCCUUGUACCACAGCCUUUUUUCCACCAGUGAAGACGUGUUCUGGAGAACAGCCCCUUCCAUGAUGCAUUCUUUACAUCUGUGUGUAACCCUGUAGAAACCAUGGCUUGUGCGGCUCAGUCCCAGAGUGGAACUGCAUUAAAAAAUUCAUGAUUCAGGGAGUUCCCAUUGUGGCUCAUUGGAUUAAGAACCAGUCAUAAUAUUGCUGAGGAUGAGGGUUCAGUCCCUGGCCUUGCUGAGGGGGUUAAGGGUCCGGCAUGGAUGCAAGCUGUGAUGUCCGUCACAGAUGUGGCUUGGAUGUGGUGUCGCCGUGGCUGCGGCAUGGGCCUGCGCUGGGCUCUGAUUCAACCCCUAGCCUGGGAACUGUCAUAUGCCGCAGGUGAAGCUGUACAAAGAAAACCUGCACAAUUCAAAUAGGAAUUCCAGUCUUCACUCACCUAGCAAAAAGGACAUUCAUGGCCCUUGGUGACUUAGGCUAAUGUCCUCAUGUCAUCAGUUUACCUUGAACAUCCUUCAGUUCCUAGGACCCUCUCACUUUCCCAGCACAGAACCCUCCCUCUCUCUCAUCCUCGAUUUCCUUUCGCCACCAUCUCACUUAAAUGGAGUUUUCAUGGCGGCCUUGAUUAUGGAAGAUUGAAAACACUUUCCUCCCUUGCUGCUAGCUGAGAGGUCGGUAACUUACAAAACUGUUGAUGCAGGAUUGAUCUUAAAGUAAACAUAAAGCAUCCUCUUGGCAAAGAAGCAUUUCACUGUCUAACCGGUGGUGCCCCAAGUUCUGGAAGUCAUGGCUUCAGCAGGGUGGGGUGGAAUGUGAAUUGUUAGGAGGAAGGAGGGGCUGGAAUUGUGAGUGUUUGUGAAGUUAUUGAGAACAUCUUAGCUAGAGAAGCUUCUGAGCAAGUUCACUCCCUUGAACCAUGAUUGAGAAAUGAUGUGCCCAUUCCUGUGAGGCCAGUGGACAUAAGGAACUCAAUAAAAUAUCUGAGUGUCUGUGGGCCA
rnacentral:lncRNA from 1 species